rnacentral:rRNA from 1 species
GACGAACGCUGGCGGCGUGCUUAACACAUGCAAGUCGAACGGAAAGGCCCUGCUUUUGUGGGGUGCUCGAGUGGCGAACGGGUGAGUAACACGUGAGUAACCUGCCCUUGACUUUGGGAUAACUUCAGGAAACUGGGGCUAAUACCGGAUAGGAGCUCCUGCUGCAUGGUGGGGGUUGGAAAGUUUCGGCGGUUGGGGAUGGACUCGCGGCUUAUCAGCUGGUUGGUGGGGUAGUGGCUUACCAAGGCUUUGCCGGGUAGCCGGCCUGAGAGGGUGACCGGCCACAUGGGGACUGAGAUACGGCCCAGACUCCUACGGGAGGCAGCAGUGGGGAAUAUUGCACAAUGGGCGGAAGCCUGAUGCAGCAACGCCGCGUGCGGGAUGACGGCCUUCGGGUUGUAAACCGCUUUCGCCUGUGACGAAGCGUGAGUGACGGUAAUGGGUAAAGAAGCACCGGCUAACUACGUG